rnacentral:rRNA from 1 species
UGAGGAAUAUUGGUCAAUGGGCGGAAGCCUGAACCAGCCAUGCCGCGUGAAGGAUGAAGGCCUUCUGGGUUGUAAACUUCUUUUAUAGGGGAAGAAAAGCAUUGUUUCUACGAUGUCCGACGGUACCCUAGGAAUAAGCACCGGCUAACUCCGUGCCAGCAGCCGCGGUAAUACGGAGGGUGCAAGCGUUAUCCGGAUUUACUGGGUUUAAAGGGUGUGUAGGCGGGCUAUUAAGUCAGUGGUGAAAUCUCCGGGCUCAACUUGGAAACUGCCAUUGAUACUAUUAGUCUUGAAUUCUGUUGAGGUGGGCGGAAUAAAUCAUGUAGCGGUGAAAUGCAUAGAUAUGAUUUAGAACUCCGAUUGCGAAGGCAGCUCACUAAACAGAGAUUGACGCUGAGGCACGAAAGCGUGGGGAUCAAACAGG